GCUGGGCACGGUGGCUCAUGCCUGUAAUCCCAGCACUUUGGGAGGCUGAGGUGGGCGGAUCACCUGAGGUCAGGAGUUCAAGACCAGCCUGACCAACAUGGAGAAACCCCAUCUCUA
rnacentral:SRP_RNA from 1 species